rnacentral:rRNA from 2 species
ACGAACGCUGGCGGCGUGCCUAAUACAUGCAAGUCGAACGAACUCUGGUAUUGAUUGGUGCUUGCAUCAUGAUUUACAUUUGAGUGAGUGGCGAACUGGUGAGUAACACGUGGGAAACCUGCCCAGAAGCGGGGGAUAACACCUGGAAACAGAUGCUAAUACCGCAUAACAACUUGGACCGCAUGGUCCGAGCUUGAAAGAUGGCUUCGGCUAUCACUUUUGGAUGGUCCCGCGGCGUAUUAGCUAGAUGGUGGGGUAACGGCUCACCAUGGCAAUGAUACGUAGCCGACCUGAGAGGGUAAUCGGCCACAUUGGGACUGAGACACGGCCCAAACUCCUACGGGAGGCAGCAGUAGGGAAUCUUCCACAAUGGACGAAAGUCUGAUGGAGCAACGCCGCGUGAGUGAAGAAGGGUUUCGGCUCGUAAAACUCUGUUGUUAAAGAAGAACAUAUCUGAGAGUAACUGUUCAGGUAUUGACGGUAUUUAACCAGAAAGCCACGGCUAACUACGUGCCAGCAGCCGCGGUAAUACGUAGGUGGCAAGCGUUGUCCGGAUUUAUUGGGCGUAAAGCGAGCGCAGGCGGUUUUUUAAGUCUGAUGUGAAAGCCUUCGGCUCAACCGAAGAAGUGCAUCGGAAACUGGGAAACUUGAGUGCAGAAGAGGACAGUGGAACUCCAUGUGUAGCGGUGAAAUGCGUAGAUAUAUGGAAGAACACCAGUGGCGAAGGCGGCUGUCUGGUCUGUAACUGACGCUGAGGCUCGAAAGUAUGGGUAGCAAACAGGAUUAGAUACCCUGGUAGUCCAUACCGUAAACGAUGAAUGCUAAGUGUUGGAGGGUUUCCGCCCUUCAGUGCUGCAGCUAACGCAUUAAGCAUUCCGCCUGGGGAGUACGGCCGCAAGGCUGAAACUCAAAGGAAUUGACGGGGGCCCGCACAAGCGGUGGAGCAUGUGGUUUAAUUCGAAGCUACGCGAAGAACCUUACCAGGUCUUGACAUACUAUGCAAAUCUAAGAGAUUAGACGUUCCCUUCGGGGACAUGGAUACAGGUGGUGCAUGGUUGUCGUCAGCUCGUGUCGUGAGAUGUUGGGUUAAGUCCCGCAACGAGCGCAACCCUUAUUAUCAGUUGCCAGCAUUAAGUUGGGCACUCUGGUGAGACUGCCGGUGACAAACCGGAGGAAGGUGGGGAUGACGUCAAAUCAUCAUGCCCCUUAUGACCUGGGCUACACACGUGCUACAAUGGAUGGUACAACGAGUUGCGAACUCGCGAGAGUAAGCUAAUCUCUUAAAGCCAUUCUCAGUUCGGAUUGUAGGCUGCAACUCGCCUACAUGAAGUCGGAAUCGCUAGUAAUCGCGGAUCAGCAUGCCGCGGUGAAUACGUUCCCGGGCCUUGUACACACCGCCCGUCACACCAUGAGAGUUUGUAACACCCAAAGUCGGUGGGGUAACCUUUUAGGAACCAGCCGCCUAAGGUGGGACAGAUG